rfam:Tinamus guttatus contig35733, whole genome shotgun sequence.
CUGCAGUUAUGGUGACAUGGUGCCCAAGACGAUUGCUGGGAAGAUAUUUGGCUCCAUCUGCUCCCUGAGCGGGGUGCUGGUCAUCGCUCUGCCCGUUCCCGUCAUCGUCUCCAAC